rnacentral:rRNA from 1 species
UACGAAGGGGGCUAGCGUUGCUCGGAAUUACUGGGCGUAAAGCGCACGUAGGCGGAUCUUUAAGUCAGAGGUGAAAUCCCAAGGCUCAACCUUGGAACUGCCUUUGAUACUGGGGAUCUUGAGUCCGGGAGAGGUGAGUGGAACUGCGAGUGUAGAGGUGAAAUUCGUAGAUAUUCGCAAGAACACCAGUGGCGAAGGCGGCUCACUGGCCCGGUACUGACGCUGAGGUGCGAAAGCGUGGGGAGCAAACAGGG